AUUGUCCAUCCGUCGAUCAUGCAGCCAUGCCUCAAACGAAGACAUCCCUUCAAUCUAAGCUGACAAGUAAAUUUGGGAUAUAAAAUGAGUCAUAUCCCAAGUCAAUGCGUUGACCAUUCGUUAGCCUGGAGUUUCUUUUGAUGAACAUCUGACCAAAAGGGCACCGUUCACUGGCCUUGCUGCUGGAAUGAGCUUUGUUGGCCA
rnacentral:lncRNA from 1 species